UGGGGAAUAUUGCGCAAUGGGGGGAACCCUGACGCAGCCAUGCCGCGUGAAUGAAGAAGGCCUUCGGGUUGUAAAGUUCUUUCGGUAUUGAGGAAGGUUGAUGUGUUAAUAGCACAUCAAAUUGGCGUUAAAUACAGAAGAAGCACCGGCUAACUCCGUGCCAGCAGCCGCGGUAAUACGAAGGGUGCGAGCGUUAAUCGGAAUAACUGGGCGUAAAGGGCACGCAGGCGGUUAUUUAAGUGAGGUGUGAAAGCCCCGGGCUUAACCUGGGAAUUGCAUUUCAGACUGGGUAACUAGAGUACUUUAGGGAGGGGUAGAAUUCCACGUGUAGCGGUGAAAUGCGUAGAGAUGUGGAGGAAUACCGAGGGCGAAGGCAGCCCCUUGGGAAUGUACUGACGCUCAUGUGCGAAAGCGUGGGGAGCAAACAGGAUUAGAUACCCUGGUAGUCCACGCUGUAAACGCUGUCGAUUUGGGGGUUGGGGUUUAACUCUGGCGCCCGUAGCUAACGUGAUAAAUCGACCGCCUGGGGAGUACGGCCGCAAGGUUA
rnacentral:rRNA from 1 species